GACGAACGCUGGCGGCGUGCUUAACACAUGCAAGUCGAACGGAAAGGCUCUGCUUUUGUGGGGUGCUCGAGUGGCGAACGGGUGAGUAACACGUGAGUAACCUGCCCUUGACUUUGGGAUAACUUCAGGAAACUGGGGCUAAUACCGGAUAGGAGCUCCUGCUGCAUGGUGGGGGUUGGAAAGUUUCGGCGGUUGGGGAUGGACUCGCGGCUUAUCAGCUUGUUGGUGGGGUAGUGGCUUACCAAGGCUUUGACGGGUAGCCGGCCUGAGAGGGUGACCGGCCACAUUGGGACUGAGAUACGGCCCAGACUCCUACGGGAGGCAGCAGUCGGGAAUAUUGCACAAUGGGCGGAAGCCUGAUGCAGCAACGCCGCGUGCGGGAUGACGGCCUUCGGGUUGUAAACCGCUUUCGCCUGUGACGAAGCGUGAGUGACGGUAAUGGGUAAAGAAGCACCGGCUAACUACGUG
rnacentral:rRNA from 1 species